GAGAGAAAUCCACCGGUCGUUCUGUAAACAAUUUCAUCGCAAACAAGCUCGUUAUUUAUUUCUGCAAGUUUAUGGGAUUUUUUAACGAGUUUUUGUGUGAUUAUGUUGUGUCGUAUGAUUAUGUGUCUAUUAUAUAUCUAUAUUUUUAUGUCGAUGGAUCCCUAAAUCUCUAUAUCGUAUAUUUAUUUCUCCAUCCGUACAUCGUAGUUUUUCGAUACGAUUCAUUAUCUUAAAUCUAAGUUAGCGUUACACCACAAACGUCAAAUUUAGGACCUAGUCUCUAUAAGUUUCUAUAUUUCUAUAUCUUUAUGUCGAUGGAUCCCUAAGUCUCUAUAUUGUACAUUUACUUCUCUAUCCAUACAUUGUAGAUUUUGGAUAGGAUCCAGUAACCUAAAUCUAAGUUAGCGUUACACCAUAAACGUGAAACUUAGCACCUACAGCCCCUAGUCUCUAUAAGUUUCUAUAUUUCUAUAUUUUUAUGCUUAUGGAUUCCUAGAAGUAUCUAGAAGCAGGCUGAGUCUGCAUAUUUUUAUAUUUGUAAGUCCAUAGAUUCCUAAGUCUGUAUUUCUAGAUCUACAGAUACCUGGAUCUCCAGGCUGUUACAUAUAUUCCUAGGUCUACAGAUUUUUAGGAUUCUGUGGUUCAGUAUUCCUAUAUUUCUAGAUCUGUAAAUUUAUAGGUCUCGAUAUCUUUAGAUUUCAAUAUGUAUCUCUGUACUUCCAAGUCUGUAGAUCCCUAGAUCUACGUAUUUGUAUAUUUUUAUAUUCCUAGCUUUGUAAAUCUCCGUAUUUCUACAUGUCUAGGUGUCAACAUCUCUAUACUCCGCUUCUUCUGUACUUUUAUGUUUUUUUGUCAUCCCUCCACUUCUAUAUAUUUCCUGUACAAAUUCGCGUAGAAGAGAUUAAUUCAAAUUCAUCUUCGUUCUGUUUGAAGAAAACAAAAGUAGCACGAAGACAUUUAGUUAAAGAAAUAAACAUAAUAAUCGAAGGUUACUAUUUUAACGAGUGGUUAACGUAUUGACGGGAAACAGUGUAAACACAGUUCAGAACAAGAGGAAUUUGACCACGAUCUCCGAAUACGCAAGAUUCUUCGUCAUCUUCCAAUUUCUUUACCUCAAAAAAAAAAAAAAAAAGAAAAAAAGAAGAAGGAAGAAGGAAGAAAAUAUACGAAUGCCAUUAAUUGCCACGAUUCGAAGCUAAUCAAACGCACCACCAGACGUUAUACGAAACCCUAACGAAACCGAAAGGAAGCGUAACCGACAGAGAAAAUGCCUCUAAAAAGCUACCUCCCCGGUUCUUAUCUCGGUGGUCAGAAAAUCGACUGAUCAAAUUGGGUCAGAUAUGUGCCGGUACACAACUAUAAGGUCCUCGACAGCAGCCCUCGGCCGUGGGCAAUCGUGAAUGUAGGUCUGGCCAAGCACUUAGCCGAUAAUUGACUAAUUUUCUCGAAGACCGAAUCGAGAAGACAAGAGGUAAGAACAAGCUUCCCAUAAAUGAACAAAGAUGCGAAGACUGGUAAUCGUUUAGUUGAUAUCGAGAUCAGAAGAAUGAUAGAAGCGUUUUCUCAAGAAGAAGAUGGGACUAAAUCGUCUGAUCACCGUUGAUCAGUAAUCCAACUAACAUCACGAGGCGUAUUCCGAAAAAGUUGAGCUUUUAAAUUACGCAAUUAGAAUACGAGAAUUCACUUGAAACAGCAGAAAUAUGAACGUGAUUCUGAAUCGGACGAAUAUGAUCGUUAUUUCUGACGAAGAAACGAUAGCAAGAAGGACAUCUUUAAAAAUCCUUAGGAUUUCCCUUUUCUUCGCAUGCGUGAAAUUAUAUGAGAAAACAGGAUUCGAUAACGCAAACUGACCGAAAGAAAAAAAGAAAGAACAUUGCAAACGAGAUAUCACUUUAACAAAACUUUGAUCAUUUCGAUAUGUUUGCGACGUUUUUAAACUUUCAAGAGCGAUAUUCAAUAUCGCGGACUUGUUCCCAGUUUUUAUAGAGUGUCUUUCUUUUUUUUUUUUCCUGCCGACGUAGAAUUCCAAAUAUGAUUUAUGAGCAAUUGAUUAUGUAGGACACAUCGUGUUGUUAAUCCGAGCUAAUUGAUGCGAAGCAACGCGAGCGGUCGCGUGUUUAUCGAAAAGUCGAUACAUGUGUUUAGCGGUAAUUACGCAUUGUUAGGCGGAUACGAAACUGCACGGGGGUUCCAGCAAUUGCAAUUAAACGCUUGCAUUAGCUACGCGAUGCGUGAAAAUUUUAAGCGUCAUCGAGUUUAUAAUAGGAAGCUAACUUUCCAUUUUAUCAGCUAUAACUUUCCCCUGAAGUCGUGAUCGCCCGUUUCGCCUGUCUGAUCACCUGUCCUCAAAGUCUUUUUACCUUUCCAAUUUGUUACCCAACUUUCGUGUAUGCAGCUCGUUCGAUCCGUAAUAAUUUUAUUACGAAAACAAAAUCUUGUAUUCGCUUUAAGAAAAGUCGAAUGUAUUGUUCAAUUCGUUGUUCAGAGGGCAAGACGUUGGAACUUUCACGUGUUCAAAUAAAAGUUUAAAUAGACGUUCGAUGUUCAAACGCAUAAGUAGCAAGUCGCUGACGAGUAGAAUACAUACACGACGCUUUGAAUUCGAGUUUACAAAACGAUAUUGCUGACACAAAGAUUUUAAGAAUUGUAUGGGCAAUUAUAAACAGAUUUCAGAGAUAGAUAGAUAUUCAAAGAUAUUACGAAUACGAUGAUUCAGAUACGUCGCCAAUAGCGAAAAUCACGAUCUAUGAUUCAUAUUUCAUUUCAUAAGAAUUCUUUUCGCAAACGUUGAAGUGAUUCUUGCACGAAUCGCUUUAAAACAUAACUUGCAAACAAAUUGUACGUUAGACAAGAUAUAUACUAGUUACGAUACGUUCUCGUAAUUCUUAAUCAUUUCUAGCGCUAAUGUAAGAUCGUAUAUCAGACGAGACAUAUGAUAUACUGAUUGUGAUAAACUCUCGUAACUGUUAAUCGUUCCUAGUGUCAAUAAUUCCAUUUUUUUUUAUAAAAACGCGGAAAAACAUAGAUAUUUUCGUUCAAUUUUAUACCAUCACGGUCUCAAAACUUACUAAUCUUUCGCGAAAUUGUCAGGCGAGAGUUAAACCCUUAAUUACAUAAUUACGCGAAAGUUAAACCCUUGAAAAAAAUGUGUACACGUUAGCUGUUUUAUUUGUAACGCAUAUCGAGCCUGAAUCUGCAACAAUCUUUUCUAGAUUCUGUUGUAAACGAAGUCUAGCUUUAAUUAUUAUCAGGAUGGAAGAAUAUGAGAUUUGCUUACCGGCAGGCGAUGUAACGGAAACGGAUUGACCGGUGCAUUGCUGAUUAGAAUUCUGGUUGCCAUUGCUUCCGGCGCUGGUGUUCAAUUUCCUCAAUUGUUUCUUGUGCUUCAUCCGCCGAUUUUGAAACCACGUUUUCACUUGGGUCUCCGAGAGGUGAAGAGCCGCCGCGAGCUCUACCCUCUCCGGUGUACUCAGGUACCUCUGCACCUCGAAUCUAGCUUCCAAACCCGCUAAUUGUUGAUCACUGAACACCUAAAUACGACACAAACGAUUUCUUGCAAGCCUGUACGAACUUUUACUUAUUUCGACAAUAGCGUUUUUAGUAAUUUCGUUCUGUUUGAUAAAAUUACUUGCACGAUCGAUCGAUAUUGUUUCGACGAUUAAAUUAUUUCCCGUGACAUUUCCACGAACGUUGUUAACCGUUUGUAUUUAAUCUUGUCAUACCAAAUUCAUAUAGAAUUUCAUUAGUAGCAUACUUAGGAAGCCGAAGGUAAAAUAUCGCAGCUGUGAAAACGAGCAAAGAUAGAAUUUAGGUGAUCGGACAAUGGAAUUUUCUUAGCGCAACAAACCACUUCAAACAAGCUUACGCUUAUUACUAAAUAGCUUUGGUUUCUCUAUUGGCUAAAUUACCAGGAAACGUUAAUAACAGAAGCUAGAGCGACAAUGUAAAAAUUAAGGAAAGAAUACAGUUGCGAAAUUUACUAUGGAAGAGCUUGGCUCGACAUAAGAAACAUACACAGAAUGCUUCGAACCCUUGCUUUGCCAUUUUCUUAGUAGCUAUUUAAAUGAAGUUAAUUUAAGAUGUAACUGUCCACUGUUGUAACACCAUGUCGGAUGCAAAAUGUCGUGAAAUUUAAUCCGGUUAAUGUUUAAACUAAAAUUAAUUCAAUCUAAAUUUCUAAUAGUUCAAAUCACAGUUAUAAGUAAACUUCGUGGCUGAAUUGGAAGUACGAUCCGCGUUACGAGUACGAUUCGAUAUUUUAACAUUAGAAUUGCCAAUUAUAAUGAAAGAACUACGACGAAAAUAAAUCUAUAAUCAUAAUCAUUCUUAUUCCAAUGAGAUCAAUAUCGAUUUCGUGAAUAGCGCAUUUGUAUGUUUUCAGUAAUUAAAAGAAAAUGAAGGAAUUAAAAAGCAAGUCUGUAUAGCCGUAACGUUCCGGUAUUUUUAUCUUCGUAUCGAGACGAGUGAAUCAUGCAAACGACCACCAGUGGAAGAGGCAAAAGAUAAGGAUUACAAGUGGUUUCACUCACUGUUCUUGCCUUUCGUCGACGGCAGUGCUUCAAGGCCGCAAGUUCAGUAACUCCCGGUACCACGCCAACCCCCAUCGCCGUGUUACCAAAAAGUGGUCCCAGGAAGAAGGUUGCCGUAGGCGGUGCAGAAGGAUAACCAGGUGCUGAUGAUGAAGUUGAUGAUGAGAAUGCGGUGGAGCGGUUCCACGACUCAGGAUAUCUUCUAUCAAAAACGAUGUUCUGCUCGCGGAAGUUCCAUUCUGACCUGGCUGGGCCUGUUGUUGCUGACAAGUGGACUGCAUUUUUACCAAAAUGA